UGAAGAACGUGUAUUAAGGUUAUAACCACCACCAAGAAUGUACUUUUAUGUAGAAAUCCAUGAUUAAACCCAGUCUUCCUGACUAGUGAUUUAGAUCAAUUUGAUUUAAAUCAAAUUCACCCUACUUCUCCCUGAUAAUAGCUAGGGAUAGUUGAAGCUCUGGACAUCUUGGUUGGUUGAUUCUGGACUUUAUUUACAUAUUGCUAUCCUUCAGACUUAUAGGAUGGCUAGGAUUUCAUUUGAAUCAUGUAAAGACUUGUAAAUGCUACACUAUAAUGCAAGUGUACUAUUCCCUUCCAAUAAAAUGGUGCAAAGGAAAACAUGUAUAGACAAUAUUUUGUCCAUAUGCAAUUACACUAAUUCAGUAUAAUACAGAAAACUAAGGCAGAGACUUACUAAAGUUAGAGAAACCACUUUAAAUAUUUCAGCAUCUCUUUCUCAGAGACAAAACACAGACAUGCUAUGGAUGGACACACAACGCCCUUGUGCUUCUUUCUCCUCCUCCUCUUUCAAAAUGGAGAACUCUUCUGUAGUUAACAAGUUUAAGUGCCCAUCCCUGUGUAAUGCAAAGGUCAGGCUCUCUCCUCAGUUAAAUCCCUCAGUAGAUCAUUCUUGGUUGAUAAGGGAUUCAGAAAAACAUUUUCCAAUAAAUAGCCAUAAUAAGAGACAUUUUCCAAUAGUCUAAGGAAGUCUUUGGAUGUUUGUGUGAUGUUUUCUUGCCCAGAUCUUUUAUAGUUAGUACAUAUCUGAUUAUAAUGUUCAUCCUUCUUAGAAACUUUACAUAUAUUCUUAAGAAAACUUAUUGACCUCUUUACAGAGACAAUCCAUUAGUAUCCUGCAUCAUCAUCUAUCUUCCUCAAAGAGAAAGAUCUUAACAAAGUCUUUUAUGACUGAUGGCCAGAACUGCCCACUGUAGCAAACCAGCUAUACUUUCUGUUUGAUUGAAAUGAUAUUGAACAGCGUUUGAAGGAAUGCAACUGUCAGCGAUGAAGACGAAGCUACAGAGAGGUUCCAACCUGGAUCAUGUGGCAGUGAGAAGGAACUGGAGAGGUGGUUGGUCCACCCUGCUCUUUAUCCCCUCAGUCGGAGGCACAAGGACCAGCUGCUCCAAGAAGCAAUCAUUUAAGAUUAAUUACCGUUGGUGGUGAGACAGCUUCAUUUCAUAAGCCAAAUUGACUAUAACAGACUAUAACGUAAGAGAGAAUGAAUUCCUUCAUAAAAACCAACCCACAUAUAGCCAGUACAACAACGGGAAAAUUUAACGACUGAACUAUCAAACAAAUAUCAGGAAUAACAAUCCAUUCCAACAGAAGGCUACCCUCCGCACAUAUUCGAUUUUACAAAAUACAGAACAGUAAUUCACAUAUCUCCCAUGUGUCUUAAUAAACGGUUAUGUAUGUUUACAAACACACACACACACACACACACAAAACCCUACUGUAUAAAUAACAACUAUAAAGAUUUCUGCACUUAUAAUGGAAAAGUACUUGCACCCUUUAAGAUCCAAAGCCAGUCACAUUUCCCAGCACUGGUGGGAGGAACUAAUUUGCAAGAACUAUUUAAGCCUCACUCAAAUGCAGGCAAUCAUUUAGCUGGAGCGGCUCAAUCUCAAGUCCAAGUUUGUAUUCUGGGUGGCUUUAUUUUAUGUUAGGUAACUUAUGUUGUCUAUCAAAAUGCUUUUACUUUUGUAAAUUAUUUGUUUUUAGGCUGCACUGUAAUUGUGAUACUAAUAUAUCUGAAAAAUACUCAAACGUAACAGAGUAUAACUGGUUUUCUAAGACUUCUUUUGGAAGAGAUAUUGAUAAAACUAUGUAAAGAAUGUAAGUACUAAACUUGAAUGUAGUCUGCCACUACUAGCCAUAAAAAUGAAAGGCACUGACUGACUGAACAAACAUACAAACAAGGACUAUGUAUAUUAAACAGAAUGAUUACAA